rnacentral:rRNA from 1 species
UUUAGAGUUUGAUCCCUGGCUCAGAACGAACGCUGGCGGCGUGCCUAACACAUGCAAGUCGAGCGAGAAAGUUCCCUUCGGGGAGCGAGUAAAGCGGCGAACGGGUGAGUAACACGUGAGCAAUCUCCCUUCGGGUCUGGGAUAACAUCCCGAAAGGGGUGCUAAUACCGGAUAAGACCACGGGGCCGCAUGGCCCAGAGGGAAAAGGUGGCCUCUCCAUGGAAGCUGUUGCCCGGAGAUGAGCUCGCGCACCAUUAGCUAGUUGGUAGGGUGACGGCCUACCAAGGCAACGAUGGUUAGCCGACCUGGGGGGGUGAUCGGCCACACUGGAACUGAGACACGGUCCAGACUCCUACGGGAGGCAGCAGUGGGGAAUCUUGCGCAAUGGGGGAAACCCUGACGCAGCAACGCCGCGUGCGCGAUGAAGGCCUUCGGGUCGUAAAGCGCUGUCAGGAGGGACGGAAAGGCCUGGUUUAACAGACCAGGCUCUGGACGUACCUCCAAAGAAGCCCCGGCAU